UACGAAGGGGGCUAGCGUUGCUCGGAAUCACUGGGCGUAAAGGGCGCGUAGGCGGGGAGGUAAGUCGGGUGUGAAAUCCCUCGGCCCAACCGAGGAACUGCGCCCGAGACUGCUUCUCUUGAGUCCCGGAGAGGAAGAUGGAAUUCCCGGUGUAGCGGUGAAAUGCGUAGAUAUCUGGAGGAACACCGGUGGCGAAGGCGGCAUCCUGGACCUCUUCUGACGCUGAGGCGCGAAAGCUAGGGGAGCAAACGGGG
rnacentral:rRNA from 1 species